CAGCCGCCGCGGUAAAACGUAGGUGGCGAGCGUUGUCCGGAUUUAUUGGGCGUAAAGGGAGUGUAGGCGGUCUUUUAAGUCUGAUGUGAAAGCCCACGGCUCAACCGUGGAGGGUCAUUGGAAACUGGGAGACUUGAGUGUAGAAGAGGAGAGCGGAAUUCCAUGUGUAGCGGUGAAAUGCGUAGAUAUAUGGAGGAACACCAGUGGCGAAGGCGACUCUCUGGUCUGUAACUGACGCUGAGGCGCAAAGCGUGGGGAGCAAACAGGAUUAGAUACCCCGGUAGUCCCUGUCUCUUAUACA
rnacentral:rRNA from 1 species